rnacentral:rRNA from 1 species
AGGGCAUGCGGUGGAUGCCUUGGCAGUCAGAGGCGAUGAAGGACGCAGGAGCCUGCGAAAAGCUCCGGAGAGCGGGCAAGCACGCGAUGACCCGGAGAUGUCCGAAUGGGGAAACCCGGCCGGGUUCGUACCCGGUCACCACUUCGGUGGGGCCAACGCGGGGAACUGAAACAUCUAAGUACCCGUAGGAAAGGAAAUCAAAAGAGACUCCGUCAGUAGCGGCGAGCGAACGCGGAAGAGCCCAAACCAUCCCGCACGCGGGGUGGGGUUGUAGGACCCGAACAUGGGACCUGGGACGCUAGUGGAACGAUCUGGGAAGGUCGGCGAGACAGGGUGAGAGCCCCGUACACGAAAGCGAAACAGGCCCUACGGUGUUCCUGAGUAUCCUCGGGCACGUGAAACCCGGGGAGAAUCUGGGGGGACCAUCCUCCAAGGCUAAGUACUCCUGACUGACCGAUAGUGGACGAGUACCGUGAGGGAAAGGUGAAAAGUACCCCGAGAGGGGAGUGAAAUAGUACCUGAAACCGCAUGCCUACAAACAGCGGGAGCGCAAGUGACCGCGUACCUUUUGCAUAAUGAGCCAGCGAGUUGCGUGUCGUGGCAAGGCUAAGGCGAGAGCUGGAGCCGCAGGGAAACCGAGUCUUAAUAGGGCGACAGUCGGGGCACGCAGACGCGAAUCCGAGUGAUCUACCCAUGGCCAGGGUGAAGCGUUGGUAACACUUCGUGGAGGCCCGAACUCACACUGGUUGAAAACAGUGGAGAUGAGCUGUGGGUAGGAGUGAAAGGCUAAUCAAACUCGGGAAUAGCUCGUUCUCCCCGAAAUGUAUUUACGUACAGCCUCGUGUAGCACCGCCGGGGGUAGAGCACUGACAGGGCUAGGGGGCUUCACCGCUUACCAAACCCUAUCAAACUCCGAAUACCGGCGAGUGACGCACGGGAGUGAGGCUACGUGAGAUAAGUUGCGUGGCCGAGAGGGAAAGAGCCCAGACUCCCAGCUAAGGUCCCCAAAUCCAGUCUAAGUGGGCAAGGAAGUCGAGGAGCCCAGACAACCAGGAGGUUGGCUUAGAAGCAGCCACCCUUUAAAGAAAGCGUAAUAGCUCACUGGUCAAGUUGUUCGGCGCCGUAAAUAUAACGGGGCUAAGGCUGGUACCGAAGCUGGAGACCGUAAGGUGGUAGGGGAGCGUUCCAAGGGCGGUGAAGCUGUCUCGUGAGGGAUGGUGGAGCGCUUGGAAGUGAGAAUGCUGGCGUGAGUAGCGAUAAAACGGGUGAAAAACCCGUUCGCCGGAAGCCCAAGGGUUCCUGUCCAAGGAUCAUCCGGGCAGGGUCAGUCGGCCCCUAAGGUGUAGCCGAGAGGCGAAGCCGAUGGGAAUCAGGUUAAUAUUCCUGAACCACCAGUCAGGAGCAGAGCAGGGACGAAGAAGGGUAGGUCAGCCGGUCAUUGGAUUCCGGUUCAAGCCUGUAGGCUGUCUGUGUAGGAACAAAACGCACGGACGAGGCCGAGAGGUGAUGUCGAAGGCUUCGGCCGAAGUGAUCGAUCCCACGCUUCCGAGAAAAGCUGCGGGCUGCGUUGAUGGGCUGGUGACCGUACCGCAAACCGACUCAGGUGGGCAGGUGGAGAACACCAAGGCGCUCGAGAGAACCCUGGUUAAGGAACUAGGCAAAUUGACACUGUAACUUCGGGAUAAAGUGUGCCAUCAUGGUGAAGGGCCUCGCGCCUGGAAGCCUACGGUGGUUGCAACAAAGCGGCGGUAGCGACUGUUUACUAAAAACACAGGACUCUGCGAAAGCGUAAGCUGACGUAUAGGGUCUGACGCCUGCCCGGUGCCGGAAGGUUAAGAGGAGUCGUCAGCUUCGGCGAAGCGGUGAAUCGAAGCCCCGGUAAACGGCGGCCGUAACUAUAACGGUCCUAAGGUAGCGAAAUUCCUUGUCGGGUAAGUUCCGACCUGCACGAAUGGCGUAACGACUUCCGCGCUGUCUCGACCAGGGACUCGGCGAAAUCGACAUGGGGGUGAAGAUGCCCUCUACCCGCGGCCAGACGGAAAGACCCUGUGAACCUUUACUCUAGCUUGGCAGUGGCAUUCGGUUCAGCUUGUGUAGGAUAGGUGGGAGCCAUUGAGACGGGCACGCCAGUGUUCGUGGAGGCAUCCUUGAAAUACCACCCUGGUUGUACUGGAUGUCUAACCCCUGCGGGGGGACAUUGCCUGGUGGGGAGUUUGACUGGGGCGGUCGCCUCCUAAAAGGUAUCGGAGGCGCGCAAAGGUUCCCUCAGCCUGAUUGGAAACCAGGCGCAGAGUGCAAUGGCAUAAGGGAGCUUGACUGCAAGAGUGACGGCUCGAGCAGGUGCGAAAGCAGGCCAUAGUGAUCCGGUGGUUCCACAUGGAAGGGCCAUCGCUCAACGGAU